rnacentral:rRNA from 1 species
UACGUAGGUGGCGAGCGUUGUCCGGAAUCAUUGGGCGUAAAGGGAGCGCAGGCGGCCGUGUAAGUCUUGCUUAAAAGUUCGGGGCUCAACCCCGAGAUGGGCAAGAAACUAUAUGGCUUGAGUGCAGGAGAGGAAAGCGGAAUUCCCAGUGUAGCGGUGAAAUGCGUAGAUAUUGGGAGGAACACCAGUGGCGAAGGCGGCUUUCUGGACUGCAACUGACGCUGAGGCUCGAAAGCCAGGGGAGCGAACGGG